GACGAACGCUGGCGGCGUGCUUAACACAUGCAAGUCGAACGGAAAGGCCCUGCUUUUGUUGGGUGCUCGAGUGGCGAACGGGUGAGUAACACGUGAGUAACCUGCCCUUGACUUUGGGAUAACUUCAGGAAACUGGGGCUAAUACCGGAUAGGAGCUCCUGCUGCAUGUUGGGGGUUGGAAAGUUUCGGCGGUUGGGGAUGGACUCGCGGCUUAUCAGCUUGUUGGUGGGGUAGUGGCUUACCAAGGCUUUGACGGGUAGCCGGCCUGAGAGGGUGACCGGCCACAUAGGGACUGAGAUACGGCCCAGACUCCUACGGGAGGCAGAAGUGGGGAAUAUUGCACAAUGGGCGGAAGCCUGAUGCAGCAACGCCGCGUGCGGGAUGACGGCCUUAGGGUUGUAAACCGAUUUCGCCUGUGACGAAGCGUGAGUGAAGGUAAUGGGUAAAGAAGCACCGGCUAACUACGUG
rnacentral:rRNA from 1 species